rnacentral:rRNA from 1 species
CCUACGGGUGGCAGCAGUGGGGGAUAUUGCACAAUGGGGGAAACCCUGAUGCAGCGACGCCGCGUGGGCGAAGAAGUAUUUCGGUAUGUAAAGCCCUAUCAGCAGGGAAGAAGAAAUGACGGUACCUGAGAAAGAAGCACCGGCGAAAUACGUCCCAGCAGCCGCGGUAAUACGUAGGGUGCAAGCGUUAUCCGGAUUUACGGGGUGUAAAGGGAGUGUAGGCGGCACUGCAAGUCUGGUGUGAAAGCCCGGGGCCCAACCGCGGGACUGCAUUGGGAACUACCGGGCUGGAGUGCCGGAGAGGUAGGCGGAAUUCCUAGUGUAGCGGUGAAAUGCGUAGAUAUUAGGAGGAACACCAGUGGCGAAGGCGGCCUACUGGACGGUGACUGACGCUGAGGCUCGAAAGCGUGGGGAGCAAACAGGAUUAGAUACCCUAGUAGUC